AGCACUUCGGUGGCUGACGAGUGGCGCACGGGUGCGUAACGCGUAUGCAAUCUACCUUUUACAGUGGGAUAGCCCAGAGAAAUUUGGAUUAAUACCGCAUAGUAUAUAGAAUUGGCAUCGAUUUUAUAUUAAACAUUUAUGGGUAAAAGAUGAGCAUGCGUUCUAUUAGCUAGAUGGAGUGGUAACGGCACCCCAUGGCGACGAUAGAUAGGGGCCCUGAGAGGGGGAUCCCCCACACUGGUGCUGAGACACGGACCAGACUCCUACGGGAGGCAGCAGUGAGGAAUAUUGGACAAUGGGCGCAAGCCUGAUCCAGCCAUGCCGCGUGCAGGAAGACUGCCCUAUGGGUUGUAAACUGCUUUUAUACGGGAAGAAACACCCCCUCGUGAGGGGGCUUGACGGUACCGUAAGAAUAAGGAUCGGCUAACUCCGUGCCAGCAGCCGCGGUAAUACGGAGGAUCCAAGCGUUAUCCGGAAUCAUUGGGUUUAAAGGGUCCGUAGGCGGAUUAUUAAGUCAGAGGUGAAAUCCCACAGCUUAACUGUGGAACUGCCUUUGAUACUGGUAGUCU
rnacentral:rRNA from 1 species